ACAGUGUGUGGGCGGCAAUGUUAACCAACACAAUUUAUACAUUGCCCGAUCAGCUGUGCUGCUAUAAACAUAAUCGUACGAUUUGCUUAAAACCGCUUUGCAUUAAUUUGUCCUAAUUUAUGGCAGCCAAAAAAGAGUGAGAAACCACAAAUAGACAUGCAAUCCACAGCUGCGUGUGGAUCCCAAUUCAGCUAACCUUGUGCGAAGGUCAAUUUUCCCCAAAAAAAUAUAGGAAACAUACCAGGAGAAACAACAAAAAAGGGAAAACGCACCCCCACGCUGAAAACCGGCGAGCACCUGGAGACGCAUACAUAUAAAAA